AAUAAUUGAUAAUGGGCGAAAGGCUGAUCCAGCCAUGCCGCGUGUGUGAAGGAGGUCUUCGUAGUGUAUAGCACUCUAAGUUGGGAGGAAGGGCAGUAAGCUAAUACCUUGCUGUUUUGACGUUACUGACAGAAUAAGCACCGGCUAACUUCGUGCCAGCAACCGCGGUAAUACGAAGGGUGCAAGCGUUAAACGGAAUUACUGGGCGUAAAGCGCGCGUAGGUGGUUAGUUAAGGUGCAAGUGAAAACCCCGGGCUCUACCUGGGAACUGCUUACAAAACAGGCAAGCUAUGGUAUGGAAGAGGGUGGUGGGAAUUCCUGUGUAGCGGUGAAAAGCGUAGAUAUAGGAAGGAAAACCAGUGGCGAAAGCGACCCCCUGGGCUAAUACUGACACUGAGGUGCGAAAGCGUGGGGAGCAAACA
rnacentral:rRNA from 1 species